rnacentral:rRNA from 1 species
UGGCGGACGGGUGAGUAACGUCUGGGAAACUGCCCGAUGGAGGGGGGUAACUACUGGAAACGGUAGCUAAUACCGCAUAACGUCGCAAGACCAAAGAGGGGGACCUUCGGGCCUCUUGCCAUCGGAUGUGCCCAGAUGGGAUUAGCUAGUAGGUGGGGUAACGGCUCACCUAGGCGACGAUCCCUAGCUGGUCUGAGAGGAUGACCAGCCACACUGGAACUGAGACACGGUCCAG